GACGAACGCUGGCGGCGUGCUUAACACAUGCAAGUCGAACGGUAAGGCCCCUUCGGGGGUACACGAGUGGCGAACGGGUGAGUAACACGUGGGUAAUCUGCCCUGCACUUCGGGAUAAGCCUGGGAAACCGGGUCUAAUACCGGAUAUGAGCUCUCACCGCAUGGUGGGGGUUGGAAAGUUUUUUCGGUGCAGGAUGAGCCCGCGGCCUAUCAGCUUGUUGGUGGGGUAAUGGCCUACCAAGGCGACGACGGGUAGCCGGCCUGAGAGGGUGAUCGGCCACACUGGGACUGAGACACGGCCCAGACUCCUACGGGAGGCAGCAGUGGGGAAUAUUGCACAAUGGGCGGAAGCCUGAUGCAGCGACGCCGCGUGGGGGAUGACGGUCUUCGGAUUGUAAACCCCUUUCAGUAGGGACGAAGCGCAAGUGACGGUACCUGCAGAAGAAGCACCGGCCAACUACGUGCCAGCCGCCGCCGUAA
rnacentral:rRNA from 1 species